rnacentral:rRNA from 1 species
UGUCGUCAGCUCGUGUUGUGAAAUGUUGGGUUAAGUCCCGCAACGAGCGCAACCCUUAUCCUUUGUUGCCAGCGGUCCGGCCGGGAACUCAAAGGAGACUGCCAGUGAUAAACUGGAGGAAGGUGGGGAUGACGUCAAGUCAUCAUGGCCCUUACGACCAGGGCUACACACGUGCUACAAUGGCGCAUACAAAGAGAAGCGACCUCGCGAGAGCAAGCGGACCUCAUAAAGUGCGUCGUAGUCCGGAUUGGAGUCUGCAACUCGACUCCAUGAAGUCGGAAUCGCUAGUAAUCGUGGAUCAGAAUGCCACGGUGAAUACGUUCCCGGGCCUUGUACACACCGCCCGUCACACCAUGGGAGUGGGUUGCAAAAGA